CCUACGGGAGGCAGCAGUGGGGAAUAUUGCACAAUGGGGGAAACCCUGAUGCAGCAACGCCGCGUGAGUGAGGAAGUAUUUCGGUAUGUAAAGCUCUAUCAGCAGGGAAUAGAAAAGAAGGUACCUGAAAAAGAAGCCCCGGCUAACGACGUGCAAGCAGCUGCGGUAAUCCGUAGGGGGCAAGCGUAACCCGGUUUUACUGGGGGGAAAGGGAGCGUAGACGGCCAGGCAAGUCUGAAGUGAAAGCCCAAGGCUCAACCAUGGGACUGCUUUUGAAACUGUCAGACUGGAGUACGGGAGAGGUAAGAGGAAUUCCUAGUGUAGCGGUGAAAUGCGUAGAUAUUAGGAGGAACACCAGUGGCGAAGGCGUCUUACUGGACGGUGACUGACGUUGAGGCUCGAAAGCGUGGGGAGCAAACAGGAUUAGAUACCCUUGUAGUC
rnacentral:rRNA from 1 species